GGGGAUUUAGCUCAAUGGUAGAGCACUUGCCUAGCAAGCUCAAGGCCCUGGGUUCAGUCCCCA
rnacentral:tRNA from 1 species